rnacentral:misc_RNA from 1 species
UCUCCGUUGGUGAACCUGCGGAGGGAUCAUUACAGAGUUCAUGCCCUACCGGGUAGAUCUCCCACCCUAUGUUAUUAUUACUUUGUUGCUUUGGCGGGCCGUUAGGCUCCGGCCCGACUACCGGCCCCGGCUGGUAAGCGCCCGCCAGAGGACCCAAAACCCUGAAUAUUAGUGUCGUCUGAGUACAAUAUAAUAGUUAAAACUUUCAACAACGGAUCUCUUGGUUCUG